UACGGAGGAUCCGAGCGUUAUCCGGAUUUAUUGGGUUUAAAGGGUGCGUAGGCGGCUUUCUAAGUCAGGGGUGAAAUACAGCGGCUCAACCGUUGCAGUGCCUUUGAUACUGGGGGGCUUGAAUGUGGUCGAAGGCGGCGGAAUGGGACAAGUAGCGGUGAAAUGCAUAGAUAUGUCCCAGAACCCCGAUAGCGAAGGCAGCUGCCUAGGCCAUAAUUGACGCUGAUGCACGAAAGCGUGGGGAUCGAACAGG
rnacentral:rRNA from 1 species